AUUGAACGCUGGCGGCAGGCCUAACACAUGCAAGUCGAACGGUAACAGGAAGCAGCUUGCUGCUUCGCUGACGAGUGGCGGACGGGCGAGUAAUGUCUGGGAAACUGCCUGAUGGAGGGGGAUAACUACUGGAAACGGUAGCUAAUACCGCAUAACGACGACAGACUAAAGAGGCGGACCUUAGGGCCUCUUGCCAUCGGAUGUGCCCAGAUGGGAUUGGCUAGUAGGUGGGGUAACGUGUCACCUAGGCGACGACCCCUAGCUGGUCUGAGAGGUUGGCCAACCAGACUGGAUCUGAGACUCGGUCCAGACUCCUGCAGGGGGCAGCAGUGGAGAAUAUUACACGAUGGAGGCAAGCCUGAUACAGCAAUGCCGCGUGUAUUAAGAAGGCCUUCGGGUUGUAGAGUGAUUACGGCGGGGGGGAAGGGAAUAAAGUUAAUACCUGUGCUCAUUGACGUCACCCGCAGAAGAAGCACCGGCUAACUCCGUG
rnacentral:rRNA from 1 species